UACAGAGGGUGCGAGCGUUAAUCGGAAUUACUGGGCGUAAAGCGUGCGCAGACGGUCACGUAAGUCGGGUGUGAAAGCCCCGGGCUCAACCUGGGAAUUGCAUUCGAGACUGCGUGGCUAGGGUGCGGAAGAGGGAAGCGGAAUUUCCGGUGUAGCGGUGAAAUGCGUAGAUAUCGGAAGGAACACCAGUGGCGAAAGCGGCUUCCUGGUCCAGCACC
rnacentral:rRNA from 1 species